UUGUUGUUGUUGUUGUGAAUAACUUCCACUGUUGUUAUUUCAUUUUUGUUUUGUGUGGUUCCUUCAUACCAAAAAAAUGAAUUUUUCCUUCAGUUACUCUGCUACAGAAAAUCAUACAGUUCCUAUUGAAACACUUCUGGAAGUCAGUAUAAUCCCAGUGGCAUUCAGAACAACUGAUGUGUGCUAAAUGGGAUUGCAAAGAGAGCCACUCUUCAUAAAACCCUACAUGCCAAAAUCCAUUUAAUGCUUCCUUUUAAGAGCCCCAGCUGAGAACACGCAGGGUUUUGUUAAGCUUGACAAAGUAACAUCUUGCUCCCCAAGCAAAUGCAGCUAAGGUGGAUGGGUUUUAACAACAUUGUAGGGAAGAGAAUUUUGAUAUGCUUAACAGCUUCAAGUUUAAAUGCUUGUUUUCUUCAGAGUAUGCAGAAACCUACACUCUGCUUUGCUGCCUCCAGGUUUCAUGUGCUACUGUGUCAUAGUUUUUGACCUCUACAGGGAAAUUAAGUUAUAUACACUUAAAAAGGGCCAUGUUUGUGUAUGUCAUUCCCAUCUGGUUGGCAGACAGGAGUUAUGGUAGAAAAUCACAAGGAACUGGAUAGCAAGGUUCUAGAAAACAAAAGUAUUGAUUUGGAACAGCCUUUCCUGACUUUGCAUAAUUUCUACAUGAAACCCCAGGUUGGAGGAAUCCUAGUGACUAAAUAUGGUGGCUGAAGCAAGAAGGUAAGAGAACAGGUUAUGAGCCAAUUGAAGCUGAUAAAGAAAUACAACAUCAGGAAAUGUCUGUCUGACUCAAUCCAAAGAUGGAAGUCAGGAGAUCUUAUCCAAAUUAUCAUUAGACUGAAUUUCUGUACGUAAUUUUGUAUAAAGAUCCUUCCUGUUAAGCUAACAUCCAGAAUGUAAGGAGGAUCCUUUUGAUCAUUGAAUAAAUUCUGUCUUUUAAUGGAAGCUCAAGUUUUGCUCAGGUAACAUUACAGGUUCCCAUAGAAAGAGUUUUAAAUAUGGUGCAUGUAUCAUCUAGCUGGCCAGAUAUUAACACUGGACAAAUGAAGCUGGACUGUGUUAUCAAGCAAGGGAGGCACAGAAUAUCUGGCUGUGGCACACCUGGUGGGUGUGCUCAAGACAGACUGAUUGGGUCCAAGGUGCAAUCAGACAUGUACCAUCUCUCCUCUUUUAUUCCCCUGCCACGGCAGAACAUGCUCACUGCAGUGCUCAUGUUUCCUCACGCUUUCACCCUCAUCCUUUCCCUUGUGUAAUGCUUACUCAUUGACCACAAUGUCUGCUGUCAUAUUUUCAUGGCAUACUAGACAUUAUUCCCAAGAACAUGUAUCAGUCUCCUUAUACUCCUUCUUUUCAGAGGGAUUUUCUUUUUCUUUCUUUUUGGUGCAUAAUGAGCUUCAUAACAUUUAUUUGGGGCAGGCCUCAUCACAGAUUGGUGCUAUCACAUCCAUGAAGGGUUAGAAAUGUACAAGUUAUGGGCUCCUGCCAGCAUGCAUAAAACUGUGUACUCUAUUUUUUCUGGCUCCUGAUCUACUGAAACUAAUUUAGUAAUUUUAAUUGUUUUAUUCAUUUGGAAUUGUAGUAUUAAUCAAAUAUUGCAGUUGCCUCAGCUGCACCUGUCUAUUCUGCUGAGGUCCCCCAUUGUGAACACUUGGAUGCACAAUGAUAUUACUUCUAACCAAAGAGAAAAAUAUUUUUGCUUCACAUUUCUUCUUUUCUUCUGAGUUUGUUCAUUCAGUAUAGAAGUCUACUCUUGUAUUAAUCAUGGAAAAUUUUAUUGUCACUGUAUCAUAGUCAUGAUCAAGCCCAUGUUUUCUAUUGAUUGAAAUUUCAAACUUUUGAGGGAAGUAUAUCCCACUCCCACCUAAAAUUGGAGGACAGCCAAUAUCACCGUACAAAACAGCUUGGUUCCUGGUAAGGCUAAGUGCUUUAUACAGACCUCAGCAGGUUUCCCACCUUUCCAGAAUGCACAGAGCAUAAAGCAUUUCCAGUGCUUCCUCUCUGGAAGCAUUUUUUGAAUCAUAAUUUAGCACCAUAUAUGAAAAUUCAUUUAAUCAGUAAAUUAAAUGCUUUUAUGUGAUCCUGGGUGUAUUUAGAGCUUGGUUAAGAGGCUCCCAAAGUAGUUUGAGUACUUUUGUCCCCUCAUCCUAUUCGUAUUGUUACUAAUAUCUAUAAAUCUUAAUUGAAAUUACACAGCUGAAGAACUGUGCUAGUUUGUACUCAGCUGGGAUGAGAAAUCACUCUCUGCUCCUGGGCCAGGAAAGUAAUCAACGCUGUUUAACCACUUUUAAUUUCACAGGAUCAGUGCUUUAAAGUUUGAAAUAAGAUUGCCAUACUUCAAAGUUAAAGUUAAAUACAAGUAAGGGGCUGUGGGAGUUUGAGAAAGAGUGAUGGAGUGGAAAAGUCCACUGAUCAGGACUAUGAUACUCCCUGUGUGUCUCUGAAUACUAACCCAUUACUAGCAAAAGUGUUUUUUAUUUAAAUGCUUAUUUCUUCUGACUACAUAGUAAUUAAGAAUUCUUUUCAGGGUUAACUCUUGGAAAAGGAUACAUCUAAUAUGAGGAGCUAUGCAUUUAUCACAGGUUGUACAGUGUUGAUGUAGGUGCUAGGGAACUACAGAAAGUACUUGGUAUCUAGUUAAUCUGUAAUCUUCUAGUGUAAAAAUGAUUCUAUGUUUAAUAUCUUGUUGACAAGUUUGGGGGUUGAGGUAUCAUGGCCAUGAAUAGUAAAAUGUAGGAUUAGGACUUUGUGCAGAAAUUGUUCUGUUCCAGCACAGAAUGAAAAAUAUCUGACUGACCCCCAUGGGAAAUCUGAUCUGUUCUCUAGAUGUGAUUCCAGCCGUGCCUCUGUAGCACUUUCUCUCAUGCCUCCACAUUGCUGUUACAGUGAGUAUUUCUGUCUAAGCAGCAGUGUGGGAUAUGAUCUUGCUAAUCUCAUUCUGAAACUCCCCUCUAAUUCUUCACUGCAUAACUCAUGUCUUUGCAUGUGCCCAUGUGUGUGCUGGGAAGAGGGGGCAGACCUAUGAAGAAUUAUUCUACCCAGAUUUUUUUGCUUUUAUCCAAGAUUUUGGGUCACAAAUACCUUUUGGUUCAACUCUCAUCUGUCCCCUAGAGCUCAAUUUAACUUUUACAGCAAAUACCACCUCUGCUG
ensembl:lncRNA